rnacentral:rRNA from 1 species
UACGUAGGGUGCAAGCGUUAAUCGGAAUUACUGGGCGUAAAGCGUGCGCAGGCGGUUAUGUAAGACAGAUGUGAAAUGCCCGGGCUUAACCUGGGAACUGCAUUUGUGACUGCAUGGCUAGAGUUUGGCAGAGGGGGGUAGAAUUCCACGUGUAGCAGUGAAAUGCGUAGAUAUGUGGAGGAACACCGAUGGCGAAGGCAGCCCCCUCGGGUCGAAGACUGACGCUCAUGCACGAAAGCGUGGGGAGCAACAAGGG